AAUAGAUACCCUGGUAGUCCACGCCGUAAACGAUGGAUACUAGCUGUUUGGUUGUAAGACUGAGUGGCUAAGCGAAAGUGAUAAGUAUCCCACCUGGGGAGUACGGGCGCAAGCCUGAAACUCAAAGGAAUUGACGGGGGCCCGCACAAGCGGUGGAGCAUGUGGUUUAAUUCGAUGAUACGCGAGGAACCUUACCAGGGCUUAAAUGUAGUGGGACAGGCUUGGAAACAGGCCCUUCUUCGGACUCAUUACAAGGUGCUGCAUGGUUGUCGUCGGCUCGUGCCGUGAGGUGUCAGGUUAAGUCCUAUAACGAGCGCAACCCCUGUCGUUAGUUGCCAGCGAGUCAUGUCGGGAACUCUAACGAGACUGCCGGUGCAAACCGUGAGGAAGGUGGGGAUGACGUCAAAUCAUCACGGCCCUUACGUCCUGGGCUACACACGUGCUACAAUGGGCGCUACAGAGGGAUGCGAGACCGCGAGGUGGAGCCAAUCCCACAAAAGCGCUCUCAGUUCGGAUUGCAGG
rnacentral:rRNA from 1 species